GCAAGUCGAGGGGCAGCAUUUCUAGCUUGCUAGAAGAUGGCGAGCGGCGCAGGGGUGCGUAACGCGUAUGCAACCUACCUCUUACGGAGGGAUCGCCCGAAGAAAUUCGGAUUAAAACCUCAUAGUAUUUAUUAACCGCAUGGUUUUAUAAAUUAAAGGUUACGGUAAGAGAUGGGCAUGCGUCCCAUUAGCUAGAUGGUAAGGUAACGGCUUACCAUGGCAACGAUGGGUAGGGGGCCUGAGAGGGUGAUC
rnacentral:rRNA from 1 species